UAAGGAAUAUUGGUCAAUGGGGGCAACCCUGAACCAGCCAUGCCGCGUGAAGGAAGACGGUUCUAGUAAUUGUAAACUUCUUUUAUGAGGGAAUAAAUAGGUGCUAUACGCACCUUUGUAGGUACCUCAUGAAUAAGCACCGGCUAACUACGUGCCAGCAGCCGCGGUAAUACGUAGGGUGCAAGCGUUGUCCGGAUUUAUUGGGUUUAAAGGGUGCGCAGGCGGAUUGUUAAGUUAGUGGUUAAAGAGUCUCGCUCAACGAGAUAAGUGCCAUUGAUACUGGCAGUCUUGAGUGUGUCUGAGGAAGUUAGAAUGCGUGGUGUAGCGGUGAAAUGCAUAGAUAUCACGCAGAAUACCGAUUGCGAAGGCAGACUUCUAAGGCAUAACUGACGCUGAGGCACGAAAGCGUGGGGAGCGAACAGGAUUAGAUACCCCCGUAGUCC
rnacentral:rRNA from 1 species